CCCAACUAUCCCUAUUAAUCAUUACAACGGUCCUAGAAACCAACAAAUAGAACCAUUGUCCUAUUCCAUUAUUCCAUGCUAAUGUAUCCAAGCGAUUGCCUGCUUUGAACACUCUAAUUUUUUCACAGUAAAAGUCCUGGUUCCCCGCCACGGCCGGUUAAGGCCAUGACGCUUCGCCAGAAGGUAGGACCCGACCACAGACAGUACUCACCCGAAGGGCGGACCGUCCAGCCAGGCCUGAAAUUCAACUACGAGCUUUUUAACUGCAACAACUUUAAUAUACGCUAUUGGAGCUGGAAUUACCGCGGCUGCUGGCACCAGACUUGCCCUCCAA
rnacentral:misc_RNA from 1 species